rnacentral:rRNA from 1 species
AUGGAAACUCAGACAGCCAACUUCACCACCCUGAUGGAGAAGCUCCUGUCCAGAUUCGACGAGGAGAGGGACUUGGCAGACAAGCGAGCAGAGGCGCAGACGGCGUUCAACACUCAGGUCUCCCACGAGUUGCAGAGCUUGUCGAAGCAGAUCGGCCUUACUCAAGCAGAGGUCGAUGACGUGCGUAAGGCUGCGUCCGCGUCCGCGUCGUCAACCCCAUCCACGGGUUCCCAGGUGGACGAUCCAUCGACGGCGGUGCUACACACACCUGCCGUGCGUACGGGGCCUCCACCACCACCACCCGAUCCGCACGCCGCGUCUCCGCCAAGCGCCCUGCCCAUACCGCAGACUAUCGCGGGGUCAGCGCUGCUCGCACGGCUCACAAACGAAGGGCCGCCACUUCUAUCCAAGCCAGAUGACCAGAUCGGGUUGCCGGAGCGGGGGUUUCAGUCAGCACCAGCGCCACGGGAGGAGUACUCCGUCAGGCCACCCAAACAUCAUUUCCCUCGUUUCGAUGGUGCUGCCCCCCGUGUUUGGCUGGAUCGUUGCUUGGCUUACUUCGAGCUCUACCAUGUGCCACAACACAACUGGGUGGCAACAUCAUCACUCUACGUCGAAGGCCAUGCCGCUCUCUAG